CUUGUUUUGUGGGCUCCAGUCCGACAGUCCACAUUCCUCUGCUGGACUCCUCGGCCACAAGACACGGAGCACUGAGGAGACAGACAGAGUGAUCUAAGCUAUUUGGGCGACGGGAAGAACAUGAAGGAUAAGCCAGAAUUAUAGUGGGACAAUUGGUCAAACAGCACCUGAAGCAUGAGCCUGGGUGCCACCUGCAUGGGUGGAAAGAGCAUUGGAAUUCUUUAAGUACAAGGUACUACGGACAAUGGUUUCCCAUUCCAAUUCACUGCCUUUCCUUUGAAGUCUACAUAAACAGAAGGCCACCUAACUAAAGACGACGACUCGCCGCUGAAAUCCACCAGCACAUGUACUAGAGCACUGAACAAAUCAGUUCAAGAAAUUAAUCCAAGUCCCUGGCUACCAAGAAGAGCUAACUUCAGGUGAUGGACUGAUGGGAUGAAGAGAAUCUUGAAAACUGACAAAAUGAGAGAAGCCAUCAUUGAGAAAACCACUGGAGUCUACAUACUGUUGAGUAACUAUAAGCACCCUGAGGGCGAGAGGCAUGUUUUAUACUUUUUCUAAACAUUUAGGCAAUUCAAAUGUACAGGCAUUCAAAAAAAAAUUGUGUGACUAUAAAUGAAAAGAUUAACAGCUAAUUCCAAUAACUGAAAAACCAAUAAGGAUCCUGGAAAAAUAGGAAGUGAAACUAGCAUUUGGUCACUUACUACCUGAGUCAUCUUAACUGCUCUGGGUCUCAGUUUCCUUAUCUGUAAAAUGAACCAGAGGUUCUCUGAGGUCCCUUCCAGCUAAUAUUUUGGAUCUUAUGGAAAAGUCAGUUAGUAUUUGAAUAAAGAGUAAUAACUAAAGCAAGCAUUCUUUGGGAGUACUUUAAGUCCAUAAGUAAAGAGACUGAUUCCAAUGCUAUUAAGGCUUGUUUCUUCAAAAGCUAACAACUCAUCUAAUCAUUAAAACACUUCUUCCUAAAACACAAUGCCCUGCACUAACCAUGGCAGCCAGACUAUCCCCUCCUAAUCUUGGGCACACGGUGAGAUGUAGUCAAUGGAGCUGGUGAACUGCAUUUGCUUACUUGCUUUUCUUUACUACAUGAGAGGAAUCAGAUUGUGUGUGUGUGUGUGUGUGUGUGUGUGUGUAUGGGGGUGUGUAGUGCAGACAGAAGCAUCUAUCCAAGAACGACUAUGAUUAAAAAAAAGGCAUUUUUUUAAAAAGGGGAGGAGGGAGAGAAAACUUUUUUUCCCCCUUUCCAAAACACAAUCACAUUUAUUGUCUCAUGUCAUCUUCACAGCAUCUUUCUGAAAGGUCAAGGGGGUGAGAUUUAAAAAAAAAGAUUUUGUCAUUCAAAACUCCAAGUGCUUAUAUUGACUCUGCUCUCUGCUCCAAGCUGGGAUUCCUUUACAACCAAUGGGCCAAAUCCUGCACUUGGUGAAUAUCUAGUGGCUGAAAUGAAGCUUUCAUGUCAAGUUACUUAAGUAUGGAAAGAAAGGGCUGUUGUUCACAAUGAUCACAUUACAACACCCAGAGGUUCUGGCUUUAAAGUUGGAGGAUCUGGCCUCCAGUCCUCACCCAGCCACUUAUCAUUGUGCAACCUUGGGCAAGUCAGUUAAUAUCAUUGCGACUUGACCUUUCCCUCUGUAAAAAGGGGGCUGGAUGAGAUGACCUCUAAGGUCCCUUCUAGGUUUGAAUCAAAGCAAGGAAGCUUUAGUAUAAUGCCUGUGACUACCUAUUUUUUUUUCCAACCCUUUCCCAGUGUUCCAUAGUAGUAGCUCAUUGCAUUUUCACUUCUCCAAAUAUGUUAUGGUCAAAUCCAUAUGGUCAGAUCUCCUUCCAGAAACAUGUUGAUCCUCAUUAUUUCCUAUCACACUUUCAUAGACCCAACAAUGCACUACAGUAACUUCCCAUUCUGUCUCAUUUUAUCUGCAUCUCAGGAGUAUGUUCUCCUUUGCAUAAUUUCCUUAUCUUUCUAAACUCUCUGUGUGUUUGCUAGCUCCCCCUGUUCAAACUAGUCUGAUUCACCUAUAAAGGAACCAUCUGUUACAAAAGCAACCCAGUUCCCGAGAUCCUACAAGCCUUGAGAGGAAUCAGUAACAAUUUCGAGGUCUUUGUUCAGAUAUUGAAUUUUCGAGCCUUAUCUAACCCCACACAAAUGCUAUUAUUUUGAAACAGCAAAUAUCAUUACUUCUCCAGCUUCAUCUUACACCAAUGUAUUUUUUCCCUGCCUUGGUCCUCUUGCCCACUGCCAUUAGCUGCUGUUGGGAAUUACGGUCCUUGCCCUCUCUGGUCAAACAGGGGUUGUUUUUGUUUUGAAAUUGUUAUCUCCAACACCAGUUCACAUGUGCAGUAGAUUAUUAUUUUUCUCUGGGGAAUCAAUCUGAUGUAAAUAAAUGUGUUUGUGUGUGUGUUUGUACUGUUCAGUUCACAUGAACCCCAUGCUAUAUCCCCAAAGACUGCUGGUCUAUAUGCUAUAGAUGGCCUUCAAAAUACUGGGGUUUGUGAUUUUUUCAGAUGCCUCUCCCAUAUUGGCCAGUUCUAGAAACAAAUGAAAUUAACUCUGUCAUUGGAUAUGGAAAAGAUGGGCCAUGCUGGGGCUCUUCUGGCCAUGCCAUGUCAUGCAACUUUACAAACCAAACCACCAUUCCUUGUCCACCACUUCCUAUACGUCUUGGAAUGUCCCCCAUUAGAAUGCAAAUCCUUGAGGGAAAUGAUCUUUGAAUUUGAUCAUUGUGUCCCCAGU